GGGGGUCCUCAGGGUGAGCCCGGUGACCCCUGCGCGAGGCCCCUAGCUCCCUGGCUGGCAGAGCUCCAGGUCGGGGCCUGGCGUGAAGGGUCCCGUCCUGUCAGAUGGCCACUGACAGCCUCUGGCGUGGUGGUGAUGGGCAGCCUGCUGUGCUUUCCUGCACAGUGUCCCGCACGGGAGGUGGGGAGGAGAAGCACCAUCCUGAGCACCUACUGUGUGCUGGCACCACAAGGACCUGCUGGCCUUCCAAUCAGAAGCCAUCAAAACCCUCUCUCCACAGAGGGGGAGACAGACCCGUGGCGGCAAGGUGGUUCUGGGAGGAGCUGGGCUGUGGGGGUCGGAUCUGCUGUGCCCCCGGGAGGCGGGCCCUCGGGCCCUCUGGGCUGGGGGCUUCUGGUGGCCCCAUGGCUGCUGUGCAGGGUGGCUGGGGCCUCGCUCAUGGGCUCCAGGACCCCCACCCCACCCUCCUCCUGACAGGCCUUGUGCCUGGGGUGUCUGCUGUCAGCUGGGUGGGAGCCAUGGGGAGCCCGAGGGAACUCAGGACCCCCACGUGCCCUGGCAGAGGCUAGGAUGGGGGGAUUCUGGCUUGCAAGCCAGAGGGUCGGCCUCGACCCCACCAGCCACUGUUACCUGCAGGUGGGACAGGCCAUCUGAGGCCAGGACACGGCCAUGGCUUGGUCACAGCUCCCAGCGGCUGCACCAGGGCUCUGUCUGGGUGGCCACCAGGGGUGGGGACCCCUCCCCUGCUCUGGGCAGCCCAGUUGUUCCCUGAAGGGGCAUGGGACGCCCUCCCCUGGAGCCUGGGGGCAGCCGCUCUGCGGAGGGCCUGAAGGUAGAUCAGGUGUCCCCGCCCCCAGGCCGCCCCCAGGACCUUAGCCAGGUGGGGGUCCUAGCAGGGGCCCCCCCUCCCUUAUGGGGGGAAUCCACCUAGCUAUGGGGCCCCUACAUUUGGCCAGCGCUCCAGGCCAUCGUGAGGUCCCCAUUCUCCCAGACCCAGGGGCCCUGCUCGAGGGAGGGGUCAGUGAGAGCCGGGGGCUGGCCAGUGCCCGCAGCCAAGCCACUCCACCGGGAGAUGGGGAGCCGGCGGCAGGGAGGAGCUGAGCCAGUCGCCAGGGCCCCAGCGGCCCCAGCCCCACCCCCAGCAGGUUGGGGGAGCCCCCCUGUCGCCGGUCCCCGCCAGGGCAGGUGCAGGGAGACCGUCUGCUGGCUCCGCAGCCGUUCGGGGGCGAGGCGCGCCCUCUGGUGGCGAGAGGCGGCGUCGCCGUCUUGUCUUAGACCAUGGGUCGCCCCAAAUCAGGGCGGGGGUGCAGGGUGGCGGUCUCCAAGCCCGAGACAGCCGGGAGGGCCUCCCCGGGCUGAGCGGGAGCGCUCAGCUUUGGGGAGCGAAGUUCAGCACCCUGACUUGCACAGGCGCCGCCAGCACCGGUGGCAGGUGGCUCUGCAAGUCCGCGCACCUCGACGGUCAUUUUUGCUGAAUCUGCGAGUUCUGGAACUGCUGUAACAGAAUCCCUUUGGCCGCAUGUACGUACUUGGGUGAACAGAGUCGCUCAGUGCUGACAUCUGUAAAACCCAGCAAGGAGAAAUAAAUUCAAUACUGAGGGCUGAAUCUUUCAAAAAAUAAGUAACAUUCAUCAGAGGGGGCGGGAGUUAAAAGGAGAACAGCUCAUCCAUUUCAUUGAGAGGCAUUUCCAAUGAAAUGUACUUUCUCCAACAACUUUUAAACAAAAUGGGUAAUGUAAAUUACUUAAAGAUAAAUCUGUGAUUUUGAUUAGCUGUGAGCUAAAAAUUGUAAACAUGACUAAACCCAGCAGAAACAUCUGAAGAUGAUCAAGGGCCUCCUGAAGUAGAGAACAAAAAGUAUAAAAAGUGACAUUGCAGUCUGUGUACAUCUUUUAAUUGCAGGAAAGUAUGAUGACUGAUCAAUGAGAGUCUUCUAAGCACAAAAUAUAUCCCAUUAGGGCAAAAUUCUGUGGGCAGAGUGGCAUGCUGAUGCAGGAAAAGGGGGAAAGAAUUAUGCCCGUUAAAGAGCUGCCCUUUUAGAAUUGAUGACGGGGGUGGGGGUGGGGUGGUUAGAUCACAAUGAUGUUUAGCUUUUGUUGUAUACAUUUAAAAGACUGAUCUAACACUUAUUUUCAAAAUGUCAACAUUAACUGUGCUUACAUGCCACGACAUGGGGGAAUCCCAAACCCAUUGUGCUGAGCAAGACACCUACACAAGAGAACACCUUUGGCAUCAUCCCUCAGAUGUGGAGUUCUGGAACAGGCAGACCCAGCCUGCGGUGGCCGGAAGUCCCAUCAGCGAUCCCCUAUUCUGGGCAUCUCAUAUGAAUGGGAUCUACAGGAGGCAGUCCUCGGACUGGCAUCUUUCACUUAGCAUCUGUGCUAGGGAGUGUGUCCUGCCUUCCACCAGCGAUGGCAGCUGAGGUUUACCAUGCUGUGUGCGUCACCUGCUUCAUCCCGUUUAACCCUCAGGGCAGAGGUGUGCAGGGGGAAGCGUGGCCCUCCUUCCACACAGAAGUGGCAUGUGAUGAGACAUCCAGAGGCCAUUCAUCCUUCGGCUUUUCGUCCCCAUCUCUUGUUUGGCUGACUCCUUAUGGAAUUUUAGUUUCUAGCUGUUGUUAAUACUUCUUAUCUGAAAUUUCUACUAUUUAAGGGAUCCUUUCUUAAUAAUCACAUUAAACUGUGUGACAGCAUUACUGAUAGUUAAGAAUAAUUAUGUUUCCUGAUUUAUUUGGUCAUCAUGAUUUCUUGAUUUUCAUUUUUUCCUUUCUUGAAUUAAAUUUUUUAUUUUGCCACCAUAUAUACUUGAAUGCUUUUGUUUUUCUAGACAAAGUUCACUUUAUUAGUCCUCAUGUAUCUGACAGAACUGUUUCCUCUUCACUUUUGAGUGAUAAUUGUCCUGGGGGUAGUGUUCCAGGAUCCCAGUGUUUUCCUCUGAACGAUAUUUUCCUUUGAAAGAUGGUGCUCCAUCGUCUAUUAGGCCAGUGAGUCGCUGUGACGUGCCUCACUUCACGGGAAAUCUGUUUAUUCACAGUGGCAGCUUUUCUUUUUCGACUCUGGAGUUCAGAGAUUUCACCUGCUUGUGAUGGUUUUGUGUCCUUUUAUUAUUAUUCCUGCCUGGUGUUCAGUGGCCAUUAUGACCAGGCAUUCAGUCAGCCAAGCAGGACCUCAA